AUACAGGGGGUGCGAGCGUUAAUCGGAAUUACUGGGCGUAAAGAGUACGUAGGCGGUUGCUUAAGUCAGAUGUGAAAGCCCCGGGCUCAACCUGGGAACUGCAUUUGAAACUGAGUGACUAGAGUUUAAGAGAGGGGAGUAGAAUUCCGGGUGUAGCGGUGAAAUGCGUAGAGAUCCGGAGGAAUACCAGUGGCGAAGGCGGCUCCCUGGACUAAAACUGACGCUGAGGUACGAAAGCGUGGGUAGCAAACAGGAUUAGAAACCCCAGUAGUCC
rnacentral:rRNA from 1 species